UACGAAGGGGGCUAGCGUUGCUCGGAAUGACUGGGCGUAAAGGGCGCGUAGGCGGAUGGUACAGUCAGAUGUGAAAUUCCCGGGCUUAACCUGGGGGGCUGCAUUUGAUACGUGCGAUCUGGAGUGAGGAAGAGGGUCGUGGAAUUCCCAGUGUAGAGGUGAAAUUCGUAGAUAUUGGGAAGAACACCAGUGGCGAAGGCGACUUACUGGACACAUAUUGACGCUGAGGUGCGAAAGCGUGGGGAGCAAACAGG
rnacentral:rRNA from 1 species